rnacentral:rRNA from 1 species
AUUGAACGCUGGCGGCACGCCUAACACAUGCAAGUCGAGCGGCAGCAUGCUUAGUAGCAAUACUAAGUGAUGGCGAGCGGCGGACGGGUGAGGAACACGUAGGAACCUGCCCAAGAGAGGGGGAUAACUAAGGGAAACUUUAGCUAAUACCGCAUAAUCUCUGAGGAGAAAAGCUGCCCGUAAGGGUAGCGCUUUUGGAGGGGCCUGCGUCCGAUUAGCUAGUUGGUGAGGUAAAAGCUCACCAAGGCGAUGAUCGGUAACUGGUCUGAGAGGACGACCAGUCAAACUGGGACGGAGACACGGCCCAGACUCCUACGGGAGGCAGCAGUGGGGAAUCUUGGACAAUGGGGGCAACCCUGAUCCAGCGAUGCCGCGUGGGUGAAGAAGGCCUUCGGGUUGUAAAGCCCUUUAGGCUGGGAAGAAGUGUGCGGGAUGAAUAAUCCUGUACAUUGACGGUACCAGCAGAAUAAGCACCGGCAAACUCUGUGCCAGCAGCCGCCGUAA